GACGAACGCUGGCGGCGUGCCUAAUACAUGCAAGUAGGACGCAGUUGCGAACGGGUGAGUAACGCGUAGGUAACUACCUAUUAGAGGGGGAUAACUAUUGGAAACGAUAGCUAAUACCGCAUACUAGUAGAUGGACCUGCGUUGUAUUAGCUAGUAGGUAGGGUAAUGGCCUACCUAGGCAACGAUACAUAGACGACCCUGGAGGGGGGUCGGCCACAAUUGGACUGAGACAAGGCCCAGCAUCCUACGGGAGGCAGCAGUAGGGAAUUUUCGGCAAUGGGGGGAACCCUGACCGAGCAACGCCGCGUGAGUGAAGAAGGUUUUCGGAGCGUAAAGCUCUUGUGUUAAGGAAGCGGUACCUAACCAGAAAGGGACGGCUAACUACGUGCCAGCCGCCGCGGUAAUUC
rnacentral:rRNA from 1 species